AAGUGAUGUAGCAGGGACGUACUGAAGCUAAUGUGGAAAGAGUAUAAAGACUGAC
rnacentral:ncRNA from 15 species